rnacentral:rRNA from 1 species
UACGUAGGCAGCGAGCGUUGUUCGGAGUUACUGGGCGUAAAGGGUGUGUAGGCGGUUGUUUAAGUUUGGUGUGAAAUCUCCCGGCUCAACUGGGAGGGUGCGCCGAAUACUGAAUGACUUGGAGUGCGGGAGAGGAAAGUGGAAUUCCUGGUGUAGCGGUGAAAUGCGUAGAUAUCAGGAGGAACACCGGUGGUGUAGACGGCUUUCUGGACCAUAGCUGACGCUGAGACACGAAAGCGUGGGGAGCAAACAGG